AUAUAUAUAGAUAUAUCUAUCCCUCCUCCAGGCACUCCGGUUUCCAAUGCAGUCGUCCUGUCCCAUGUGCAGAUGCUCCACCCCCAACCCCAAAAGCAUGAUGCUACCACCCCCAUGCUUCACAGUAGGAAUGGUGUUCUUGGGAUGGAACUCUUCAUCCGUCUUCCUCCAAACAUGUUAGAUCAUGUGGAACCAAGAUGGACUUCAGAAAUACUACGAGGUGAUUCAAUGACACUCGCCUUUGGGAUAACAAGUUUCUUCCAUCCAUGGGCCCACCUGUCACUGCAGAGGACAACGAACGCGGCCCACUGCACAGCCGGGAGGAGGAAGAGCUUUCUGACCAAAAAGCAGCACUCAUGAUUCAUUCAUGACACGGUUACCAUUUUUCAGAGUGUCAACAGCUUGUCUUUGAAGUGAUAAUCAUAACAUUGAGGGUGUCCUUGAAUUUCGUCUCUCCAUUAAAAUGCUUAAUGGGUGAUGAUUUCUGUAAUUCAGCGAGGAGGAGCUCUCCCGGCCUCCUGUUAGUCCAAGCAUGUCUCAUAAAGCUGUGAGGGGGUAGGCAAAAAUAAUGCGAGAGGCUGUCUAUGUGCUUGAUGAGGAACACUACGAUAGCAAAUAUUAUAAUUAGCAGCGGGUGAAAAGGGUGAAUUAUUAUUAUUUUAAUGGUGUCGGAAAUUACAGUAGAUGAUAAAACUGCAUUUACUUGAGAUCACCAAGGAGAUUUCACAGUAAAUAGUGAAAUAACACAACACAACAACAGCAACAUAAUUUAUGAUGACGAUAAUAAAAUAAUGGUAAGAUUUCUUUCUAUUCCUCAACAUCCUCACUUCUGCCACUUACAGCUCUGCUUCCUACAAGUUGUCUCUUCAGUGCUCCUGUCUCUAGUCCAUAUGUCCUUUAUCUGAGCAGAGGCUCUUCUGUCACACAAGACACCUGACAUCUUCCUCUGCCCGUUCCAACCUACUUUGUUCCUGUUCUUGCCUUCCAUACCACACUUACCAUUGCUCUGGAUUGUUGACCAAAAGUAUUUAAAGUCUUCCACUCUCACAACCUCUUAACACUGCAGUCUCACUUUUCCACCUCCACCACUCUCAUUCACGCACCUACAGCGUAUCAUAUUUUACAUCAGCUAAUCUUCAUUCCUCUCAUUUUCAGUGCAUGCCUCUACUUUUCUUACGAUUCUACACCUGCUCCUUGCUUUCAGGGCAUAUCACAUUGUCAUCUUAAAACAUUAUGCUCCAUCAGGAUUCCAGUUCAACCUCCAUAAUAUUGCAAACAGGAAGGGGGUCAAGGAUGAUCCCUGAUGCAAUCCCACCUCCACAUUUAACUCCCCUAUCACACCUAAAGCAAACCUCACCGCAAUUUUGCUGCCCUCAUACAUAUGUACGCACUAUUUGAACAUACUUCACCUCACACUUCCACAUGUAGUGCCACAGUUCCUCUGCUGUGUACUUUGUUAUAGGCUUUCUCUAGAUCUAAGAUGAUGUGAUUUAUUUGUACUUCGCCAUCAACACCCUCAAGGCAGAUGAUGCAUCUGAGGUACUCUUCCGAGGCAAAUUCUCACUUCUGUCCUGGGUCUCGUGUCCACUACACUUCUCUACAACUUCACUAUGUGGCUUAUCAACUUUAUUCUUCAAAAGUUCCCACAGCACUGCACAUCAGCCUUUUUCUUAAAUAUGAACACCACCACAUUUUUUGAAAGCAAAUAAUCAUUAACUUGUAAUUUUAUGCCUGCAACAGGUUCCAAAAAAGCUGGGAGUGGGUCAGGUUUACCACUGAGUUCCAUCACCUUUGCUUUUAACAUCAUUCAUUUAAAGUUUUGGAACUGAGGACCCUAAUUGUUGAAGCUUUGUAGGAGGAAUUCUUUCCCAUUCUUGCUUGAUGUACAGCUUCAGCUGUUUAACAGUCUGUGGUGUCCGUUGUCAUAUUUUACAUUUCAUAAUGCGGCAUACAUUUUCAGUGCUAGACAGGCCUGGACUGCAAGUAGGCCAGUCUAGUACCCACACUCUUUUAUUACAAAGGCACACUGUUGUAACACGUGCAGAAUGUGGUUUGCCAUUGUCUUGCUUAAAUAAGCAGGGGUGUCCAUGAAAAAGACAUUGCUUGGAUGGCAGCAUAUAUUUCUCCAAAACCUGAAUGUACAUUGCAGCCUUAAAGAUGCCUUCACAGAUGCUGGCUUGCCCAUGCCAUUGCCACUAACACAGGCCCAUACCAUCACAGAUGCUGGCCUUUGAACUUGGCAUCCAUAAGUCGGGAUGGUUAUUUUCCCACUUGGCCAAUGUCCACAAUUUCUAAAAAAUGUAAAAUGUGGACUCGUCGGACCACAGAACUCUUUGUCUUAGAUGGACUCAGGCCCAGAGAAGUGGCGACAUUUCUGUCUGGUUUUGAUAAAUGGAUUUUGCUUUGUAUAGUAGAGUUUUCAGUAACACUUACAGAUGUAGUGCCGAACUAUAUUUACUGACAUUAGUUUUCUGAAGGUGGAAUGGUGAAGGAUCUGGUUAGAGCAUUUGACUGCACAGUUCUGAAUCCGGGUUCUGUCUGUGUGGAAUUGGCAUGUUCUCCCUGUGCCUGCGUGGGUUUUCUUUGGGGUGCGGGUUUCCUCCCACAUCCCCAAACCAUGCAUAAGUUGGAGACUCUAAAUUGUGCUUGAAGACAUCCCUAUAUACAUUGUAAAAUAGAUAUUGUAAUGAAAAAUUAGAUAUAACAUUAUUCACUUAAAUAUCUAUACGAAAAAAUAAAUAUGAGUGGAGAGCGUGUCAUCCAUCCACAAAGUUGCGGAAGUCUCAUUCGACAUCCAAGUGGUAGCCAUAUUGCCUGCAACGUCAUUAGCAGGUGUUACAACCGGGACAUUCGAUAUUGAAAACACGUUUUGGCACCUGCUAUGGGACACAGAAGCUCUUUUCAAAGAAGAGAACAUCUCACAAGCAAGUGAAGUGACCAGGGCAACCCUAUCAUUUCGAUGCAUAUUUAAAUGAUAUGCGGAUCACUUCUAAUUAACAACAGACUCCCCGACAGUAUGUAUGAGCAGCCCCGGUGGCACCGCGAUGAGCCACCCCAGCCAAACCCGUGCUUGGCGGACGCAGCACUACCGAAGCUGUCCACAGCACCGCCAAAGCCGUUUGCAGUGGACGAGGCCGCGACGGGCACAUCGACACAUUUAGCACCCCUGACUUUUGUUACAUUCUGAGAGGAUUACGCCCCACCACCAAACUACUGUUUUGUUUGUUUUUUAUUAUUAGCUCUAUACACACCUACCUUUCAUUUGGAACCCACAAAGCUCUAAUCCUUUGCACCUGUGCAAUCCAUUUGUCACGAUGAACCGGGUCUUUUGGAAAAAAUAUGAAGAGUAGAAAACAAGAUACAGUUCAACCCUAACCCUAUAUCUAGCAAUACAGUGAGCCGGCAUUUUGGCUAACACAAAGGAACAAAGAGCUACCUUCCCCCAGGUAAAACUAGUAUAGUAAAAAUGAUUAUAAUUAUAAAAUAAUUAGCAAAAAUGGUGGCGCAGGGAGAAAAGACUAGAGCGAAAUUGUCCGAUUUACCAGCUGAUUUCUCACUCGCAUUCUUAGCGAAUAGUGAAAUAUCUUUGAAAAGCAGACAGCAGGGCUUCAAGUAUUUCAGCGAGGGGUAUUUCAAUGGUAUUUACAUGCAUAUCGACGGAGAAACCAUUGAUAUUAGCGCGAGAUCUUUCCGGAGUCAGAGGAAGACCGAGAAGCCACAUAAUAUAAUAUAUUAUAACCCAAAGACGAAUUCGUCAUUGACCGUUUACUAUUUUCGUGUUACAUACCACACUUGCGUGCAGAAUCUGUAUGUGUAUCUGUAUAGCCGUUUGUGAACUGCCGUAUGAAGGAAAAGAAGGCGAGGCUUGAUUUACGAGUUGUUUCUCUCGUUUUCUUUGUGUAACGUCACGCGCUCCCCGCAAUUUCUACAAAGGGGUCAAUUGGCUGGCAAGCAGCUCAGGGUGUACCCAGCCUCCUGCCUGUUCACAGCUGGGAUAGGCUGCAGCACUUCCCGCGACCCUUGUGAGGAUAAGCGGCUAAGAAAAUGGAUGUAUGGUUUUCUGAAGUGUUCCUGAGCCCAUGUGAUGAUAUUCUUUAAAUAAUUAUGUCAGUAUUUGAUGCAUUGCCACCUGAGGGAUUCAAGGUCAUAGGCAUUCAAUGCUGAUUUUUGGGCUUGCCACUUACAUGCAGUAAUUUCUCCAGAUUUUCUGAACCUUUUGAUGAUAUUAUGGAUAUCCCUGGCAUUCAUUGUGAUAUUGUCUUUGUCAGUUUGCUUCAAAGAGUGACAACAGGGUGGAGAGGGAGGACAUUCUGGUGACAAAAUGUGGAUAAUGCAUGAACAAAAAAUUUACUUGAAGUUAAAGGUUUUAAACCUCUCAAUGACAUCGAGAGAUGUGUAAAACCACUAAUGUUGUGUUAUUGUUGUUAUUGUGGUUAAUUGCUAUUCAAUGUUUUUAUUAUUAUU